AUUGAACGCUGGCGGCAUGCCUUACACAUGCAAGUCGAACGGCAGCACGGGAGCAAUCCUGGUGGCGAGUGGCGAACGGGUGAGUAAUAUAUCGGAACGUGCCCAGUCGUGGGGAUAACGUAGCGAAAGCUACGCUAAUACCGCAUACGAUCUAUGGAUGAAAGCGGGGGAUCGCAAGACCUCGCGCGAUUGGAGCGGCCGAUAUCAGAUUAGGUAGUUGGUGAGGUAAAGGCUCACCAGGCCGACGAUCUGUAGCUGGUCUGAGAGGACGACCAGCCACACUGGGACUGAGACACGGCCCAGACUCCUACGGGAGGCAGCAGUGGGGAAUUUUGGACAAUGGGCGGCAAGCCUGAUCCAGCAAUGCCGCGUGCAGGAUGAAGGCC
rnacentral:rRNA from 1 species